UACGAAGGGGGCUAGCGUUGUUCGGAAUUACUGGGCGUAAAGCGUGCGCAGGCGGCUUCUCAAGUCAGGGGUGAAAGCCCAGAGCUCAACUCUGGAAUUGCCUUUGAGACUGAGUGGCUUGAGUACGAGAGAGGUGAGUGGAAUUCCCAGUGUAGAGGUGAAAUUCGUAGAUAUUGGGAAGAACACCGGUGGCGAAGGCGACUCGCUGGCCAGUAACUGACGCUGAGACGCGAAAGCGUGGGGAGCAAACAGG
rnacentral:rRNA from 1 species